AGGCGGAUGACGGUACCGGAAGAAUAAGCCCCCGGCUAACUACGUGCCCGCAGCCUCGGUAAUACUUAUGGUGCUAGCGUUAAUCUAAGUUACUGGGCGUAUAGCGUGCGCAAGCGGUUUGUUAAGACAGAUGUGAAAUCCCCGGGCUUAACCUGGGAACUGCAUUUGAGACUGGCGGGCUUGAGUAUGGCAAAGGGGGGUAGAAUUCCACGUGUAGCAAUGAAAUGCGUAAAGAUGUGGAGGAAUACCGAUGGCGAAGGCAACCCCCUGGGCCAAUACUGACGCUCAUGCACAAAAGCGUGGGGAGCAAACACGAUUAAAUACCCUGGUAGUCCACGCCCUAAACGAUGUCACUAGUUGUUGGGUAUUCAUUUCCUUAGUAACGCAGCUAACGCGUGAAGUUGACCGCCUGGGGAGUACGGUCGCAGGAUUAAAACUCAAAGGAAUUGACGG
rnacentral:rRNA from 1 species